GGGGGUGUAGUUCAGUGGUAGAGCACUCACCUAGCACGUGGCAGGCCUUGUGUUCAAUCCUCAGCACCACAA
rnacentral:tRNA from 1 species